GGGGAUAUUGCACAAUGGAGGAAACUCUGAUGCAGCAACGCCGCGUGAAGGAUGAAGGUCUUCGGAUUGUAAACUUUUGUACUUGGGGACGAUAAUGACGGUACCCAAGCAGCAAGCUCCGGCUAACUACGUGCCAGCAGCCGCGGUAAUACGUAGGGAGCAAGCGUUGUCCGGAUUUACUGGGUGUAAAGGGUGCGUAGGCGGCUAUGCAAGUCAGUUGUGAAAACUAUGGGCUCAACCCAUAGCCUGCAAUUGAAACUGCGUGGCUUGAGUGAAGUAGAGGUAGGUGGAAUUCCCGGUGUAGCGGUGAAAUGCGUAGAGAUCGGGAGGAACACCAGUGGCGAAGGCGACCUACUGGGCUUUAACUGACGCUGAGGCACGAAA
rnacentral:rRNA from 1 species